AGCGUAACAAGGUUUCCGUAGGUGAACCUGCGGAGGAUCAUUG
rnacentral:rRNA from 1 species